rnacentral:rRNA from 1 species
AGGUCAAGUGAAGAAGGGCGCACGGUGAAUGCCUUGGCACUGGAAGCCGAUGAAGGACGCGACUAACCGCGAAAGUCUUCGGGGAGCCGUAAGUAGGCUUUGAUCCGGAGGUCUCCGAAUGGGGGAACCCAGCAUGUGCAGACAUGCUAUCCUUAAGUGAAUACAUAGCUUAAGGAGGGAACACGCAGUGAACUGAAACAUCUAAGUAGCUGCAGGAAGAGAAAGAAAUAUCGAUUUCCCAAGUAGCGGCGAGCGAACAGGAAAGAGCCCAAACCGGCAGAUUUAUCUGCCGGGGUUGUAGGACUGAGACAUGGCACUUCAGAGGAUAGCAGAAGCGUUUGGGAAAGCGCGCCAGAGAGGGUGAGAGCCCCGUAAGCGAAAUCCAAAGGAGGCCUAUCAGUAUCCUGAGUAGGGCGGGACACGUGAAAUCCCGUUUGAAUCCGCGAGGACCAUCUCGCAAGGCUAAAUACUAACCAGUGACCGAUAGUGAACCAGUACCGUGAGGGAAAGGUGAAAAGAACCCCGGGAGGGGAGUGAAAGAGAACCUGAAACCGUGUGCCUACAAGUAGUCAGAGCCCGUUAACGGGUAAUGGCGUGCCUUUUGUAGAAUGAACCGGCGAGUUGCGUUAGUCAGCAAGGUUAAGUCAGAAAAGACGGAGCCGUAGCGAAAGCGAGUCUGAAGAGGGCGAGCAGUUGGCUGACGCAGACCCGAAACCAAGUGACCUACCCAUGACCAGGUUGAAGGCGCGGUAAAACGCGCUGGAGGACCGAACCCACGUAAGUUGAAAAUUGCGGGGAUGAGUUGUGGGUAGCGGUGAAAUUCCAAACGAACUUGGAGAUAGCUGGUUCUCUCCGAAAUAGCUUUAGGGCUAGCCUCGCAAAGAGGAUGCUGGAGGUAGAGCUCUGUUUGGACUAGGGGCCCGUCAAGGGUUACUGAAUUCAGAUAAACUGCGAAUUCCAGACAUUUAUGUGCGGGAGUCAGACUGCGAGUGAUAAGAUCCGUAGUCGAAAGGGAAACAGCCCAGAUCACCAGUUAAGGUCCCAAAAUUCAUGCUAAGUGGAAAAGGAUGUGGAGUUGCGCAGACAACUAGGACGUUGGCUCAGAAGCAGCCAUCAUUCAAAGAGUGCGUAAUAGCUCACUAGUCGAGUGACGCCGCGCCGAAAAUUUACCGGGGCUAAGCAUGAUACCGAAACUGUGGAUGUGCGUUUAUGCACGUGGUAGGAGAGCGUUCUAGCGGCGGUGAAGCAUGACCGAGAGGACAUGUGGAGCUUCUAGAAGUGAGAAUGCCGGUAUGAGUAACGAAAGACAGGUGAGAAUCCUGUCCGCCGCAAGACUAAGGUUUCCUGGGGCAGGC